UGGGGAGCAUCCCGGAAACGAAAGUCUUCCGGUUCCGGGGGAAGUAUGGUUGCAAAGCUGAAACUUAAAGGAAUUGACGGAAGGGCACCACCAGGAGUGGAGCCUGCGGCUUAAUUUGACUCAACACGGGGAAACUCMCCCGGCCCGGACACCGYAAGGAUUGACAGAUUGAUAGCUUUUUCAUGAUUCGGUGGAUGGUGGUGCAUGGCCGUUCUUAGUUCGUGGAGCGAUUUGUCUGGUUUAUUCCGAUAACGAGCGAGACUCUGGCCUACUAAAUARUUGACGCAUUGCCUCUGUGUGUACAACUUCUUAKAGGGAUUUUCGGUGUUCAGCCGCACGAAAUUGAGCAAUAACAGGUCUGUGAUGCCCUUAGAUGUCCGGGGCUGCACGCGCGCUACACUGGCAAACGCAACGUGCUUGUCCUUGCGCGAAAGCGCUUGGUAAACCAUUGAAAAUUUGCCGUGAUUGGGAUCGGAAAUUGCAAUUAUUUUCCGUGAACGAGGAAUUCCAAGUAAG
rnacentral:rRNA from 1 species